UUGGCUAAUCCUGGUCGGACAUCAGGAGGUUAGUGCAAUGGCAUAAGCCAGCUUGACUGCGAGCGUGACGGCGCGAGCAGGUGCGAAAGCAGGUCAUAGUGAUCCGGUGGUUCUGAAUGGAAGGGCCAUCGCUCAACGGAUAAAAGGUACUCCGGGGAUAACAGGCUGAUACCGCCCAAGAGUUCAUAUCGACGGCGGUGUUUGGCACCUCGAUGUCGGCUCAUCACAUCCUGGGGCUGAAGUAGGUCCCAAGGGUAUGGCUGUUCGCCAUUUAAAGUGGUACGCGAGCUGGGUUUAGAACGUCGUGAGACAGUUCGGUCCCUAUCUGCCGUGGGCGCUGGAGAACUGAGGGGGGCUGCUCCUAGUACGAGAGGACCGGAGUGGACGCAUCACUGGUGUUCGGGUUGUCAUGCCAAUGGCACUGCCCGGUAGCUAAAUGCGGAAGAGAUAAGUGCUGAAAGCAUCUAAGCACGAAACUUGCCCCGA
rnacentral:rRNA from 2 species